UACGUAGGGUGCGAGCGUUGUCCGGAAUUAUUGGGCGUAAAGAGCUCGUAGGCGGUGUGUCACGUCGGCCGUGAAAACCUGCAGCUUAACUGUGGGCGUGCGGUCGAUACGGGCAUCACUGGAGUUCGGCAGGGGAGACUGGAAUUCCUGGUGUAGCGGUGAAAUGCGCAGAUAUCAGGAAGAACACCAAUGGCGAAGGCAGCUCUCUGGGACGGUACUGACGCUGAGACGCGAAAGCGUGGGGAGCGAACAGG
rnacentral:rRNA from 1 species